rnacentral:rRNA from 1 species
GACAGAGGGUGCAAACGUUGUUCGGAAUUACUGGGCGUAAAGCGCGUGUAGGCGGCCAUCUAAGUCGGGCGUGAAAUCCCACGGCUCAACCGUGGAAGUGCCCCAGAAACGGUGAGACUGGAGUCCUGGAGAGGGUCGUGGAAUUCCCGGUGUAGCGGUGAAAUGCGUAGAGAUCGGGAGGAACACCAGAGGCGAAGGCGGCGACCUGGACAGGUACUGACACUCAACUACGAAAGCAUGGGGAGCAAACAGG